GACAGAGGGUGCAAACGUUGCUCGGAAUCACUGGGCGUAAAGGGCGUGUAGGCGGGACGGUAAGUCGGGCGUGAAAUCCCUAGGCUCAACCUAGGAACUGCACUCGAAACUACCAUUCUUGAGUGUCGGAGAGGAAAGCGGAAUUCCUGGUGUAGAGGUGAAAUGCGCAGAUAUCAGGAAGAACACCCGUGGCGAAGGCGGCUCUCUGGGACGGUACUGACGCUGAGACGCGAAAGCGUGGGGAGCGAACAGG
rnacentral:rRNA from 1 species